GCAUCGAGCCCUUGCGCACGACGGAGGACCGCCCAUGGUCUGUGGGUCGGAUGUCUGGCGGUCACACCCGCCGGGAAGAUCUUCUGGCGGAAACAGAAUCUGCUCAUUUCGGGAAAGGCUGAUUGCGCGGUUACGUGCAGCGUGUGUUGAGGAGUGGCUCUGGAAACUUAAAGAGCCCGACGAUCAAGUGAUCUUGCCAACUACCGUUUUAAUCAGCAUGUUUUAUUUUGUUGUGGUACAGGCUCAGAGCCCAAUGCAAGCCCUGGCAGAUGUCUUCAACACCAGAGUGACACUCAGCCUGAAGGCCAGGAUUGAAGACUGGAAGUACAGGGGCAAGAAAUACCUUUGAAAAUACUCCAGUGUCCAAACUGCUCACUGGUGUUGCUGCCUUGUGAGCCAGGGCACGAGGCUUUGUUGAGGUCACUACUUUUCAUUCCCUCCAAGAUGGACAAGAUGUUUGUUUUGUGCACAGUAAGUGGAACACAGGGCCUCCGGCAUGGUGCUUAUAUGUUCUCUUCAGAAACUAAGGUUUGUAUUGGGAUUAGGACUACCCAUAUGCCAUACACAUUAAUGUGCUUUUCAUGAAUUUUUUUCUGUCUAAUGCCUGACAGCUAAUCUGAGUAUCCCCUACCAAUUCUGAGGUGCGCCAUAACUCAGAACUAAGGGACUGAAGGCUGCUAUCAUAGACCAUGAGCAGCUGCUCCAACCACAGCCCUGGCACAGACCACCCAUAAGAGCAUUUCCACCUCCUGGGAAGAUAAAUUCAUAUUUAUAUUGUCUCUGUCUCUCCAUCUUGUGUGUAUAGGAGGAGUGAUACGCGUAUGUAUUUAGAGGCCAAAAGUGUCUUCCUAAAUCUUACCGUUUCCUUUUUGGGAAUGAAUCUCAGGCUGGUGAAAUGGCUCACUAGGCAAAGGUGCUUGCCACCAAGCCUAAUUACCUGAGACUCAGAUGGUAAGAGGGAAC
rnacentral:lncRNA from 1 species